rnacentral:misc_RNA from 1 species
AAGUCGUAACAAGGUUUCCUUCACCUAUUGAAGCCUUCAGCAGCGACUGUAAAAAAAAUGCGUAGUUUGCUUGCAAGCAAUGCCACUCAAAUGCUGAGACAUAUGAAUCAGCAGCCUUCUAGGCUCACAGAUCAAAUUGUGGUAACCAUUUUCAUGGGCAAGAUAUGACCGGUCUUAACUAGAGUUAGUUAAGAAUCCACGUUCCGUAGGUGAACCUGCGGAAGGAUCAUUACCGAGUUAGGGUCUUAUAGGCCCGACCUCCAACCCUUUGUUUACUACACCAUGUUGCUUUGGCGGGCC